CCCUUAGAUGUCCUGGGCCGCACGCGCGCUACACUGAGUGUCUGAGAUACGAGUCUGCCUGGUCCGGCAAGGUCUAGGUAAUCGCUAAAAGACACAUCAUGCUUGGGAUAGAUUAUUGCAAAUAUUAAUCUUGAACGAGGAAUUCCUAGUAAGCGCAAGUCAACAGCUUGCGUUGAUUACGUCCCUGCCCUUUGUACACACCGCCCGUCGCUACUACCGAUUGGGAAAAUUUUAGAGAGUCCUGGACUGAUGAUUGUUCGGCUUCACGGCCUUACUUUCGUCGGGAAAGAAUUCGAUAAUAUUUUUCUAGAGGAAGUAAAAGUCGUAACA
rnacentral:rRNA from 1 species